rnacentral:lncRNA from 1 species
UUGACCCAGAUCCCCUUUUAUUCUUCGCGAUUUAGGGGUCUGCUUCUCUUCAAUUUCGAAUUUUUUCUUGCUGUAAUCCAUGGGAAAUCACAGAAAUAAGCAUAAAUCUACAGCUAGCAAGUCAACGCAGAUGACCCAGAGCAAACAACCUCAAAUCGAAGAAGAAGGGUCAGAUUUGCAAUUAACGACAGAAAAAGAUGUGUGCUUCGUCAAGAACGGGUCCGAUCUGAAAUCUCCGACAGAAAAAGCUGCGUGCUUCGUCAAGAACACCGACGGAAAAUUGAAGGUUACCCAGAUCGGUGAAGCUGCGUGCUUCGUCAAGAACACCGACGGAAAAUUGAAGGUUACCCAGAUCGGUGAAGCUGCGUGCUUCGUCAAGAACACCGACGGAAAAUUGAAGGUUACCCAGAUCGGUGAAGCUCCUUCUAUGGCGUCGAUUCAGAAGCAGGUACACGAUUCUCAGCCAAAAGCAG